rnacentral:rRNA from 1 species
AACGAACGCUGGCGGCAGGCCUAACACAUGCAAGUCGAACGCCCCGCAAGGGGAGUGGCAGACGGGUGAGUAACGCGUGGGAACAUACCCUUCGGUUCGGAAUAGCUCAGGGAAACUUGGAUUAAUACCGGAUACGUCCGUAAGGAGAAAGAUUUAUCGCCGAAGGAUUGGCCCGCGUCUGAUUAGCUUGUUGGUGAGGUAAUGGCUCACCAAGGCGACGAUCAGUAGCUGGUCUGAGAGGAUGACCAGCCACAUUGGGACUGAGACACGGCCCAAACUCCUACGGGAGGCAGCAGUGGGGAAUAUUGGACAAUGGGCGAAAGCCUGAUCCAGCCAUGCCGCGUGAGUGAUGAAG